CAGCCAGCCAGCCAGGCAGGCAGCAAGUCAGGCAGCCAGUCAGCCAGCCAGCCAGCCAACCAGAAAGCCAGCCAACCAGUCAGUCAGUCCCUGACCCUCAGCAGGUAGAUGUGUUAGUCCCUGUGUUAGUCCCUGACCCUCAGCAGGUAGAUGUGUUAGUCCCUGUGUUAGUCCCUGUGUUAGUCCCUAACCCUCAGCAGGUAGAUGUGUUAGUCCCCGUGUUAGUCCCUGACCCUCAGCAGGUAGAUGUGUUAGUCCCUGUGUUAGUCCUGACCCUCAGCAGGUAGAUGUGUUAGUCCCUGUGUUAGUCCUGACCCUCAGCAGGUAGAUGUGUUAGUCCCUGUGUUAGUCCUGACCCUCAGCAGGUAGAUGUGUUAGUCCCUGUGUUAGUCCCUGUGUUAGUCCCUGUGUUAGUCCCUGACCCUCAGCAGGUAGAUGUGUUAGUACUGACCAUUAGAGGUGCUAUAAGGUCUUUGGUCCGUAGAACAACCUUUAGACAGGUAUGGAGCACAGAGGUCAGGCCAUAGAGGUAGAUAGAGAUCCCUAGAUGGGCUGUCACCACCUAGAACAACUUUUAGAGAUGUAUGGAGUACAGAGGUUAGGCCAUAGAGAGAUGAAUAUAUUGAAUUGAUUUGAAUUGAUUUGGGUUGAAACAAAUGUCCAACAGGAUGCACAUUGAAUCACUAGAGAAUAUCA
rnacentral:lncRNA from 1 species